AGAGUUUGAUCAUGGCUCAGAGCGAACGCUGGCGGCAGGCCUAACACAUGCAAGUCGAACGCGCCCUUCGGGGCGAGUGGCGGACGGGUGAGUAACACGUGGGAACGUGCCCUUUGGUUCGGAAUAACUCAGGGAAACUUGAGCUAAUACCGGAUGAGCCCUACGGGGGAAAGAUUUAUCGCCGAAGGAGCGGCCCGCGUCUGAUUAGCUAGUUGGUGAGGUAAAGGCUCACCAAGGCGACGAUCAGUAGCUGGUCUGAGAGGAUGAUCAGCCACACUGGGACUGAGACACGGCCCAGACUCCUACGGGAGGCAGCAGUGGGGAAUCUUGCGCAAUGGGCGAAAGCCUGACGCAGCCAUGCCGCGUGGAUGAUGAAGGUCUUAGGAUUGUAAAAUCCUUUCACCGGGGACGAUAAUGACGGUACCCGGAGAAGAAGCCCCGGCUAACUUCGUGCCAGCAGCCGCGGUAAUACGAAGGGGGCUAGCGUUGCUCGGAAUUACUGGGCGUAAAGGGCGCGUAGGCGGACAGUUAAGUUGGGGGUGAAAGCCCGGGGCUCAACCUCGGAAUUGCCUUCAGUACUGGCUGUCUUGAGCGCGGGAGAGGUGUGUGGAACUCCGAGUGUAGAGGUGAAAUUCGUAGAUAUUCGGAAGAACACCAGUGGCGAAGGCGACACACUGGCCCGUUACUGACGCUGAGGCGCGAAAGCGUGGGGAGCAAACAGGACUAGAUACCCUGGUAGUCCACGCCGUAAACGAUGAGUGCUAGUUGUCGGCAUGCAUGCAUGUCGGUGACGCAGCUAACGCAUUAAGCACUCCGCCUGGGGAGUACGGUCGCA
rnacentral:rRNA from 1 species